rnacentral:rRNA from 1 species
AGAGCGAACGCUGGCGGCAUGCUUAACACAUGCAAGUCGCACGAACGGGGGUAACUCGUUAGUGGCGGACGGGUGAGUAACGCGUAGGUAUCUGUCCAUGGGUGGGGGAUAACCUUGGGAAACUAAGGCUAAUACCGCAUGACACCUGAGGGUCAAAGGCGCGAGUCGCCUGUGGAGGAGCCUGCGUCCGAUUAGCUUGUUGGUGGGGUAAAGGCCUACCAAGGCGACGAUCGGUAGCU